rnacentral:rRNA from 1 species
GACGAACCGUGCGAACGUUGUUCGGAAUCACUGGGCUUAAAGGGCGCGUAGGCGGGCCCGCAAGUCAGGGGUGAAAUCCCACGGCUUAACCGUGGAAGUGCCUUUGAUACUGCGGGCCUUGAGGGAGGUAGGGGCGUGCGGAACUUCCGGUGGAGCGGUGAAAUGCGUAGAUAUCGGAAGGAACACCGGUGGCGAAGGCAGGUCUCUGGGCCACUACUGACGCUGAGAAGCGAAAGCGUGGGGAGCGAACAGG